rnacentral:rRNA from 1 species
AGUGGGGAAUUUUGGACAAUGGGGGCAACCCUGAUCCAGCCAUGCCGCGUGCGGGAAGAAGGCCUUCGGGUUGUAAACCGCUUUUAGUCGGGAAGAAAAGGCAAGGGUUAACACCUCUUGUUCUUGACGGUACCGGCGGAAUAAGCACCGGCUAACUACGUGCCAGCAGCCGCGGUAAUACGUAGGGUGCGAGCGUUAAUCGGAAUUACUGGGCGUAAAGCGUGCGCAGGCGGUUUGUUAAGUCUGAUGUGAAAGCCCCGGGCUCAACCUGGGAAUGGCAUUGGAAACUGGCAAGCUCGAGUGCGGCAGAGGGGGGUGGAAUUCCGCGUGUAGCAGUGAAAUGCGUAGAGAUGCGGAGGAACACCGAUGGCGAAGGCAGCCCCCUGGGCCGACACUGACGCUCAGGCACGAAAGCGUGGGGAGCAAACAGGAUUAGAUACCCUGGUAGUCCACGCCCUAAACGAUGCUCACUAGGUGUUGGGGAAGCGAUUCCUUGGUACCGUAGCUAACGCGUGAAGUGAGCCGCCUGGGGAGUACGGCCGCA